rnacentral:rRNA from 1 species
GUCUACGGCCAUAUCACCCUGAAUGCACGCCAUCUCGUCUGAGCUCAGAAGCUAAGCAGGGUUGGGCCUGGUUAGUUCUUGGAUGGGAGACCUCCUGGGAGCACUGGGUCCUGUAGGCU